UUAUUGUUUCGAAAGGUUCUUUUCUGUUUCCGAAUGAAUAUAACGCUUAAGCCGUUAGACAUGAUCAAGACUCUCAAAGAGAAAGCCUAGCAUUAACAUACGAAAAUACUAUAUCAGGUGCUUAGGGGAUAGAAUUAUGCAAUAUAUUGGAAUUUAUUAUUUAUAAAAUUGAAUCGGGUGCACGUCUUAUAUUGCAUGACAAAACAACUUAUACUGAUCUGAAUAAACUUUAAGGAAUAAAACAAAUUUGAAGGUGAAUUUCAAGUGACAAUCUUAGAUCCUAUUUUUAUGCAUAUAUGUAACUGUUUUUUUUAUUAUUUUUUUUUAAUAUGUUGCAUACAAUAUUUAUAUAUAUGUAUAUUUAAUUGUGUGAAAAUCAUCAUAGGAGUCUAUUUUUGUAGGUAAAAUAGACGUUUCGAUAUAUGUAAAUAUGUAAUCAUAUGCUUGUUGAAGCACUCAGAUCCAAUGUGUAAGCUGCAUGGUCCCGUCGUGAGUCCGUUGGGUAUCCAUUACACUCAUCUGGCGGACCAAUCGCUUCAUCGAAGACCGAUGCUGCCUUCCAGUACUGCCACUGUUCGAAUCGCUAGUCUCGAGUGGUGUGCGCUCAUUGAUGCGAGGCAGCUGGCGUUGGCGACGACUAUCCUUUAACUCUAGUUCGACAUCGGAAGCAUUGGUUGAAGAGCCCCCUAGUACAUCCAGAUUUUCAUAGGAAGCUGGUGAAUUAGAUUUACGGUUGUGGUUUGCAUCGGAAGCAAUCCUUGAGUUGCCAAUCCUUGCCAAACUCUUCACCCUCUUCAAUGGUCUGCGGCAAACGAUGAUGCAAUGUCUCCGGCAAACGCAAGCCGGUCAAGCCCCCCAGCAUCGAAACAAAUCCCAUUAUUACUAAUGGCAGCUUUAAAUUUUCUUUACCCAGAUACGUAACGAAGGGUAUCACGAUAAGUCCCAAGCCUCCUAUGUAGCUAGAUGCCCCAAUGCCUAUGCCGCGCACCUGCGUCGGAUAUAGCUCGCCGGCAAACGGGUAAAUGAUCAAGAAUGAUGCCGAAAGUAGAGCCUUUGAUAUGAGAUAUAAUAUUAAAGUCUCGUCUAUGGCAUUGUCAGGUAGCAUCACAGUUAUAACGCAAGCCACUCCACUAUAUUCAAUUGAAGAACAAGAGAAUAAUAAAUAAUAGUUAUAUAAAUAGAACUAAAUACUAAAUAAUAUGUAAGGAACUCUAGCCGAGACAUCUCGACUACGAGAUCCCCUGAAUUCGUAUAACUGGCACUUUAACAAUCUUUUUACUUCUUUUCUGUAUGCACUAAAAACAACACAUGUUCAUACACACGCUUACUUUGAGAACUUAAUUGUUUCAUAAUUUUUCUUGCAGAUGGACUAUCUUCAUAAAUUCAAAUGAAAUUUGGAGCGAAAAGGAUGAAUUUGUGGCCGGUAUCCUAAACAUAAAAAAAAUCAAAAUUCUAUAAAAUACGUGAUCCUAUAUUUAAAAUUUAAAAUGUAUGAUAUAGAUAUACAUACAUAUAUAUAAGAUUGUCGAUAACUUUAAAACUUAAAUAGUUAUCGUUUUUUUUAAGCAAACUUGAUCUACGUGUGUAAAAGCCUAAAAAAAUGUAUCGCGUUCAAACAGACGGACAGGGUCCGACAUAGUUCGUCACCCUUAUAAAAUAAAUAUACUUAGGGGGUAUGCCCCUGCCUGUUA